rnacentral:piRNA from 1 species
UGGCUUCACAUUGAAAGAGCAGCCAUGUGCCU